rnacentral:rRNA from 1 species
GAUGAACGCUGGCGGCGUGCCUAAUACAUGCAAGUCGAGCGAACAGACGAGGAGCUGGCUCCUCUGACGUUAGCGGCGGACGGGUGAGUAACACGUGGAUAACCUACCUAUAAGACUGGGAUAACUUCGGGAAACCGGAGCUAAUACCGGAUAAUAUAUUGAACCGCAUGGUUCAAUAGUGAAAGACGGUUUUGCUGUCACUUAUAGAUGGAUCCGCGCCGCAUUAGCUAGUUGGUAAGGUAACGGCUUACCAAGGCAACGAUGCGUAGCCGACCUGAGAGGGUGAUCGGCCACACUGGAACUGAGACACGGUCCAGACUCCUACGGGAGGCAGCAGUAGGGAAUCUUCCGCAAUGGGCGAAAGCCUGACGGAGCAACGCCGCGUGAGUGAUGAAGGUCUUCGGAUCGUAAAACUCUGUUAUUAGGGAAGAACAAAUGUGUAAGUAACUAUGCACGUCUUGACGGUACCUAAUCAGAAAGCCACGGCUAACUACGUG